rnacentral:rRNA from 1 species
GUACUAAGGUAGCAUAAUAAUUAGCCUUUUAAUUAAAGGAUAGAAUGAAAGAACUAACGAGUCAAUACAACAUCCUCUGAAGAAAAUAAUAAAUUCCCAUUAAAGUAAAAAGACUUUAACAUAUAAGAAGGACGACAAGACCCUGAUGAACUUUAACAAAAUGUUAGGCUGGGGCAGCCACAUAAAAAAACCUUAUUACAAACAACAAUUAUACGAGAAACAUAAUACAAAAACAAGUUACCACAGGGAUAACAGCAUAAUUUUCCUUUAGAGCACUAAUCAAAAGGAAAGAUUAUGACCUCGAUGUUGAAUUAUCUUCAUAAUACAAGAAACCCUGUAAUAUAUAAAGGUCUGUUCGACCACACCAAGAUACAUGAU